rnacentral:piRNA from 1 species
AACUAGGAAAGGCUCAAGAUCACUCAAAGU